rnacentral:rRNA from 1 species
UACAGGGGGUGCAACCGUUGCUCGGAAUCAUUGGGCGUAAAGCGCACGUAGGCGGCGCGUUAAGUCGGGUGUGAAAGCCCUGGGCUCAACCCAGGAAGUGCAUUCGAAACUGGCGCGCUUGAAUAUGGAAGAGGGUCGCGGAAUUCCCGGUGUAGAGGUGAAAUUCGUAGAUAUCGGGAGGAACACCAGUGGCGAAGGCGGCGACCUGGGCCAAUAUUGACGCUGAGGUGCGAAAGCGUGGGGAGCAAACAGG